rnacentral:rRNA from 1 species
CUAGCAUAUCAAUAAGCGGAGGAAAAGAAACCAACAGGGAUUGCCCUAGUAACGGCGAGUGAAGCGGCAACAGCUCAAAUUUGAAAUCUGGCGCAAGCCCGAGUUGUAAUUUGUAGAGGAUGCUUCUGGGUAGCGACCGAUCUAAGUUCCUUGGAACAGGACGUCAUAGAGGGUGAGAAUCCCGUAUGUGACCGGCCCGCACCCUUUACGUAGCUCCUUCGACGAGUCGAGUUGUUUGGGAAUGCAGCUCUAAAUGGGAGGUAAAUUUCUUCUAAAGCUAAAUACCGGCCAGAGACCGAUAGCGCACAAGUAGAGUGAUCGAAAGAUGAAAAGUACUUUGGAAAGAGAGUUAAAAAGCACGUGAAAUUGUUGAAAGGGAAGCGCCUGCAACCAGACUUCGCGGCAGUGUUCCGCCGGUCUUCUGACCGGUUCAUUCUCUGUCGCGAGGCCAUCAUCGUCUGGGCCCGCCGGAUAAGACCUGAGGAAUGUGGCUCCCCCUCGGGGGAGUGUUAUAGCCUCUGGUGAUGCGGCGUGGCUCGGGCGAGGUCCGCGCUUCGGCAAGGAUGAUGGCGUAAUGGUUGUCGGCGGCCCGUCUUGAAACACGGACCAAGGAGUCUAACAUCUAUGCGAGUGUUCGGGUGUCAAACCCCUACGCGUAAUGAAAGUGAACGGAGGUGGGAACCGCAAGGUGCACCAUCGACCGAUCCUGAUGUCCUCGGAUGGAUUUGAGUAAGAGCAUAGCUGUUGGGACCCGAAAGAUGGUGAACUAUGCCUGAAUAGGGUGAAGCCAGAGGAAACUCUGGUGGAGGCUCGCAGCGGUUCUGACGUGCAAAUCGAUCGUCAAAUUUGGGUAUA